CAGCACUUGAUACUAAGCGAGCAAUCUACAUCCUAGCCUUGUGUCAAAGGCUCGUGAUGUGCUGUGACCAUAGGGUUUAAGGGGUGGAAUACUAAAACCAAAGCCACGAGUCCUUUAAGCCCGGGAGUAAAGACACACUCUUGAGUUAUAACGCAGUGGCAUAACU